rnacentral:rRNA from 1 species
UACGUAGGGUGCAAGCGUUGUCCGGAAUUAUUGGGCGUAAAGAGCUCGUAGGCGGUCUGUCGCGUCUGCUGUGAAAACUCAGGGCUUAACCCUGAGCUUGCAGUGGGUACGGGCAGACUAGAGUGCGGUAGGGGAGACUGGAAUUCCUGGUGUAGCGGUGAAAUGCGCAGAUAUCAGGAGGAACACCGGUGGCGAAGGCGGGUCACUGGCUCGUUUCUGACGCUCAGGCGCGACAGCGUGGGGAUCAAACAGG